rnacentral:rRNA from 1 species
UGUGAGCUCGAUGAGUAGGGCGGGACACGUGGUAUCCUGUCUGAAUAUGGGGGGACCAUCCUCCAAGGCUAAAUACUCCUGACUGACCGAUAGUGAACCAGUACCGUGAGGGAAAGGCGAAAAGAACCCCGGCGAGGGGAGUGAAAAAGAACCUGAAACCGUGUACGUACAAGCAGUGGGAGCACGCUUAGGCGUGUGACUGCGUACCUUUUGUAUAAUGGGUCAGCGACUUAUAUUCUGUAGCAAGGUUAACCGAAUAGGGGAGCCGAAGGGAAACCGAGUCUUAACUGGGCGUUAAGUUGCAGGGUAUAGACCCGAAACCCGGUGAUCUAGCCAUGGGCAGGUUGAAGGUUGGGUAACACUAACUGGAGGACCGAACCGACUAAUGUUGAAAAAUUAGCGGAUGACUUGUGGCUGGGGGUGAAAGGCCAAUCAAACCGGGAGAUAGCUGGUUCUCCCCGAAAGCUAUUUAGGUAGCGCCUCGUGAAUUCAUCUCCGGGGGUAGAGCACUGUUUCGGCAAGGGGGUCAUCCCGACUUACCAACCCGAUGCAAACUGCGAAUACCGGAGAAUGUUAUCACGGGAGACACACGGCGGGUGCUAACGUCCGUCGUGAAGAGGGAAACAACCCAGACCGCCAGCUAAGGUCCCAAAGUCAUGGUUAAGUGGGAAACGAUGUGGGAAGGCCCAGACAGCCAGGAUGUUGGCUUAGAAGCAGCCAUCAUUUAAAGAAAGCGUAAUAGCUCACUGGUCGAGUCGGCCUGCGCGGAAGAUGUAACGGGGCUAAACCAUGCACCGAAGCUGCGGCAGCGACGCUGAUGCGUUGUUGGGUAGGGGAGCGUUCUGUAAGCCUGUGAAGGUGUGCUGUGAGGCAUGCUGGAGGUAUCAGAAGUGCGAAUGCUGACAUAAGUAACGAUAAAGCGGGUGAAAAGCCCGCUCGCCGGAAGACCAAGGGUUCCUGUCCAACGUUAAUCGGGGCAGGGUGAGUCGACCCCUAAGGCGAGGCCGAAAGGCGUAGUCGAUGGGAAACAGGUUAAUAUUCCUGUACUUGGUGUUACUGCGAAGGGGGGACGGAGAAGGCUAUGUUGGCCGGGCGACGGUUGUCCCGGUUUAAGCGUGUAGGCUGGUUUUCCAGGCAAAUCCGGAAAAUCAAGGCUGAGGCGUGAUGACGAGGCACUACGGUGCUGAAGCAACAAAUGCCCUGCUUCCAGGAAAAGCCUCUAAGCAUCAGGUAACAUCAAAUCGUACCCCAAACCGACACAGGUGGUCAGGUAGAGAAUACCAAGGCGCUUGAGAGAACUCGGGUGAAGGAACUAGGCAAAAUGGUGCCGUAACUUCGGGAGAAGGCACGCUGAUAUGUAGGUGAAGCGACUUGCUCGUGGAGCUGAAAUCAGUCGAAGAUACCAGCUGGCUGCAACUGUUUAUUAAAAACACAGCACUGUGCAAACACGAAAGUGGACGUAUACGGUGUGACGCCUGCCCGGUGCCGGAAGGUUAAUUGAUGGGGUCAGCGCAAGCGAAGCUCUUGAUCGAAGCCCCGGUAAACGGCGGCCGUAACUAUAACGGUCCUAAGGUAGCGAAAUUCCUUGUCGGGUAAGUUCCGACCUGCACGAAUGGCGUAAUGAUGGCCAGGCUGUCUCCACCCGAGACUCAGUGAAAUUGAACUCGCUGUGAAGAUGCAGUGUACCCGCGGCAAGACGGAAAGACCCCGUGAACCUUUACUAUAGCUUGACACUGAACAUUGAGCCUUGAUGUGUAGGAUAGGUGGGAGGCUUUGAAGUGUGGACGCCAGUCUGCAUGGAGCCGACCUUGAAAUACCACCCUUUAAUGUUUGAUGUUCUAACGUUGACCCGUAAUCCGGGUUGCGGACAGUGUCUGGUGGGUAGUUUGACUGGGGCGGUCUCCUCCUAAAGAGUAACGGAGGAGCACGAAGGUUGGCUAAUCCUGGUCGGACAUCAGGAGGUUAGUGCAAUGGCAUAAGCCAGCUUGACUGCGAGCGUGACGGCGCGAGCAGGUGCGAAAGCAGGUCAUAGUGAUCCGGUGGUUCUGAAUGGAAGGGCCAUCGCUCAACGGAUAAAAGGUACUCCGGGGAUAACAGGCUGAUACCGCCCAAGAGUUCAUAUCGACGGCGGUGUUUGGCACCUCGAUGUCGGCUCAUCACAUCCUGGGGCUGAAGUAGGUCCCAAGGGUAUGGCUGUUCGCCAUUUAAAGUGGUACGCGAGCUGGGUUUAGAACGUCGUGAGACAGUUCGGUCCCUAUCUGCCGUGGGCGCUGGAGAACUGAGGGGGGCUGCUCCUAGUACGAGAGGACCGGAGUGGACGCAUCACUGGUGUUCGGGUUGUCAUGCCAAUGGCACUGCCCGGUAGCUAAAUGCGGAAGAGAUAAGUGCUGAAAGCAUCUAAGCACGAAACUUGCCCCGAGAUGAGUUCUCCCUGACUCCUUGAGAGUCCUGAAGGAACGUUGAAGACGACGACGUUGAUAGGCCGGGUGUGUAAGCGCAGCGAUGCGUUGAGCUAACCGGUACUAAUGAACCGUGAGGCUUAACC